GUGCUAGCUUGGAGUGAACCUUCCAAAGCCUGUGGUUCAUGUACAUGUAGCAACGGAGUUGUCAUGUCGUGCCCAAACAUUGCCAAUAUUUCUUUGCGCUCUAACAAUUUGACGUAUCUCAGUGGCUCAGCAUUUCAGAAUAACAAGAUCGUUACGGAUAUAGAUUUGUACCGUAAUCAACUUGUCCACCUACCUGCCGGGCUGUUCAAAGCCACAACC